rnacentral:rRNA from 1 species
UACAGAGGGUGCAAGCGUUAAUCGGAAUUACUGGGCGUAAAGGGUGCGUAGGUGGUUAAUUAAGUUGUAUGUGAAAACCCUGGGCUUAACCUAGGAAUUGCAUAUAAAACUGAUUAGCUAGAGUGCGGUAGAGGGAAGUGGAAUUUCCGGUGUAGCGGUGAAAUGCGUAGAUAUCGGAAAGAACACCAACGGCGAAAGCACUCUGCUGGGCCGACACUGACACUGAGAGACGAAAGCUAGGGGAGCGAAUGGG